AUGACGCAAAAUAGGGCUAAGUGGACAGCAAGGCAUGAGAAAAGUCUCGUGGAGGUACUUACAGAGUACAAUCUAUCUCAUUACCAUGGCCAAAAUGGGUGGACUACAGAAGGAUGCAAUCAAGUUGUCAAGGAAUUGAACAAUUUAUAUCCAGAGGCAAGUUUUACCAAGGAUCAGGUCCAAGAUAAGGAAGCUCGGUUGAAAAAGCACUACAAAAAUAUCAAGUCCACAAUCAACCGUUCUGGAAUAUCAUGGAAUCAUAUUGCAUCUGUGAUCAACACCAUGCCUGAAAAACGGGAAGAGAUCAUUGCAGAGGACCCAAAGCUCAAAAUGGAUGAAGGAAAGAGCUUUCCAUUUUACGAGGCAUGGGGUGUGCUCUAUGAAGGACACAUUUCUCAAGGAAGACAUUGCCUCACAUCAAGGAAGCCUCUGAUUGUCACAAAAUUAGGUAGCAACUUUGGAGCAAAGGAGAAGAUGGUUGCAAGCACUAGCAAGAAAAAUACAAGACAUGGAAGAGAUGACAACAUAAGGACUUCUUCAAUAAUUGACAUCAAUGAUACUCCUACAUUAGAUGAUGUGGAUGAAAGAGAGAACACUAUCAAUGACGAGGAAGAAUUAGGCAGUGAAGAUGCUGAUGGUGAUCAACCACAAAUAAGUGAAUCAAGUCCUAAGGGGAAAAAACCAAGAAACAAAAAGGUGCCACAUCUGUACAGCGGCUUGAAUAUUCCAUGA
rnacentral:rRNA from 1 species